AUGAAGGAGCGAUAUAAGGCUGAGCUGAGCAAAAAGGAAGCUCAAACUGCUGAUCUGCAAGAAAACAUCAAGUCCCAGCAAGCCGAAACCUCCAAAGCCAAGGAUGAGAUGUCAUGUGCUUUAGCCGCUAUGGAAAAACUGAAGGAGAGUUUCAACAAAGAGCGGGCGGAUUGGGACACAGAAAAGUCCGCGUUACAAAAAAGAGCCGAAGAUGCAGAAGCCGCUCUUAAACCGGUGGUAGAUGAGCUGACUGGCGUAAAACGACAGAUACAUGCCAUGACUGCUGCUGUGUUCGGAACUCGCAUUAGUCAUCUGGGCUCUGACGUACAGAAGAAGCUAAAGGCUGCCUACACUCUGAUAGAUCAGUUGUAUACCGGCGCGCAACGAAUCAUCUGCACCGCUUCUCACAAUAAACCGCCCCCAACGUUAAUUAAGGAUACCUUAGAGAGGCUGUCUAUGCUGCCUGCCCGGGUAGAAGAACUAAAGAGAUCUGCUGCAAGGGCUGGUGCUCUGACUGCACUAACCUGGGCAAAGGCAUGGGUGCCUGACCUUGAUCCGGAGGAUGACAGCAAAGGCUAUCUGAGCUUAAAAGAAGACGGAUCCGAAUUCAGAAAUGAGGACCUCCGAGCUAUAAACCGGGAAGUACGUCCACUGGCUUGCCAAUUAGCUGAAGAAGCUGAUCUUUCACAUUAUCAAGCGAGUUAUGACGUCCACAACAAACGGGUUGCUGCACCAACUCCAGAGGUUCAAAAUCUCAUCCCGCCAAUUCGUAAGCAUACCUAUGCCCCUGACAUUGAACUGUCCACCCUUAUAAGCGACGAAGCUGUGUUCCAAGCCCUAACUGGGAUCGACUGGACAACUAUUGACUUCCAGCCGCUGGGUAGAUACGAAGAGGAUGAACCGGUGCAAGAUGAUCCGCAGCCGUCAGGUCAAGCUGGAGACGAAUCAUGA
rnacentral:rRNA from 1 species